rnacentral:lncRNA from 1 species
UCCACCUCCGCCUCCACGGCCGCAGGUGGAUCUUCCACAGGCUUGGGAUCUUCGACGGUGGGUUCAGCGGCAUCCUCCGCGGCUGGAGCUGCCGCCGCCUCCGGCUCGGCCUCCGGCUGAGCUGCUUCGGUGGGCUCGGCCGCUGCUGGUUCGGGCUCAGCCGCUGCAGGCUCUUCGGCGGGCUUUUCUUCGGGUUCCGGAGUGACUUCUUCUUCUGCUGGAGACUCCGCCUCUGCCGCCGCCGGGGAUGCUUCUUCUUCCUCGGGCUCUUCUACGGGUGCUGCCGCGGCUUCCGUCUCGACCACCGCCUCGACG